rnacentral:sRNA from 1 species
UUCCGUCCCCACCCCCUCCUCUCGGGGAAGA